AACGAACGCUGGCGGCAGGCCUAAAACAUGCAAGUCGAACGCCCUAGCAAUAGGGAGUGGCGCACGGGUGAGUAACGCGUGGGAACGUGCCCUUCAGUACGGGACAACGUCGGGAAACUGACGCUAAUACCGUAUAAUAUCUCCGGAUCAAAGAUUUAUCGCUGAGGGAGCGGCCCGCGUCUGAUUAGCUAGUUGGUGAGGUAAUGGCUCACCAAGGCUACGAUCAGUAGCAGGUCUGAGAGGAUGAUCUGCCACACUGGGACUGAGACACGGCCCAGACUCCUACGGGAGGCAGCAGUUAGGAAUAUUGGACAAUGGGCGAAAGCCUGAUCCAGCCAUGCCGCGUGUGUGAUGAAGGCCUUAGGGUUGUAAAGCACUUUCGUUGGGGAUGAUAAUGACCGUACCCAAAGAAGAAGCCACGGCUAAAUUCGUGCCAGCCGCCGCGGUAA
rnacentral:rRNA from 1 species